rnacentral:lncRNA from 1 species
UCACCAUUCACUUCUUCAUCUUCUCCCUCCAUCUUCUUCUUCUUCUUCUUCUUCUUCAUAUUAACAUCUUCACUCACCCCUCCUACUUCAACACCUUCUUUCUCUUCUUCAACUACUGCUUUGCUUGGACCCUCUUCUAUCUUUUGCCAACCUUUUUCCUCCUUGACUUUGACCUCAACUUCUUCUUCUUCAGUUGUAGAGUGAUUGAUUUAUGGGAUAUGAUUGUGUCCAUUAAUAUUGUUGCAUUUUGUUGGUUACUAUUCUCAUCCUCAUCAUGUUUCUCUUCUUUGGAAGCUUCUACUUCUGGCACUGUAGGAAUUAACUUCGCAUCAAUCAUCAUUGUUAACAUGAACGGGAAACUGAUGAUCAGAUUCCUCAACCUUAUGAUCAUGAUCAUGAUAACUUUCAUGUUCAGAUUCAACAUGAGCUUCAACAUGUAAACCUUCUGUAGUAGUUUCAGCUAUAGUAGUACUCUUUUCAGCAUUGGUUGAUUUAGCAGAAGAAAAAACAUCAUCAUGUACCAUCUUAGUGGUUGUUGAAGUAGCAGUAGGACUUGGGCUUAUCAAAAGAUCUUCUGUUUACACUAGGCUUUUUUGGGGCUUCACUCUUAAUAAGAUUGAAGGAGUGAGACUCAACUAGGCGUGACCUUAUUAUUGUGGGGCUUGAGAUAGUUUAGGACUGGUUUUUCUGUUGUUGGGUUUGAGGUUGUUGCCUUAUGUAUUGGGUUUGUUGUUGUGGAUGGUUUUGUGCACUUUUUUGUUCUUGUGAUAGAACAAGUGGCCUUCUUCUCCUUACCAACAACUUUACUCUCUUUUGCCUUCUUCUCCUUAUCAACAGCUUUACUCUCUUUUGCUUUUGUUGCCAUGUGAAUAAGGGUAUUAAUCUCAAGGAUAUCUUUUUACAGUUUGGG